rnacentral:rRNA from 1 species
UACGUAGGGUGCAAGCGUUGUCCGGAAUUAUUGGGCGUAAAGAGCUUGUAGGCGGUUUGUCGCGUCUGCUGUGAAAUUUCGGGGCUCAACCCCGAACUUGCAGUGGGUACGGGCAGACUAGAGUGUGGUAGGGGAGACUGGAAUUCCUGGUGUAGCGGUGAAAUGCGCAGAUAUCGGAAGGAACAUCAGUGGCGAAAGCGACUUCCUGGACCAGUACCGACGUUCAGGCACGAAAGCGUGGGGAGCAAACAGG